UAACCCUACUUAUUGAUUAAAUUAAUUAAUUCAGCACUUAAUUGUUUUAAGUCCAUUUGAUAAUCACAAAUAUACCAACUUAACUUAUUCAAUUAAGCUAAAAGUCACUUAAAAUAAUAAGUUUGAAAUUUUGACUUAAAAUUUCUACUUAACACGCUAAGUUGUAAGAUUUUGAAAGUUUGAAAUUAAACUGACUUUAAUAUCCUCAUUACCCUCAAAUUAUUACCCACGUACAAAUCUGUUCUCUUCUCCAUCACAACCCUAUUUUUUUUCUCAUAAACAACGUGUGAUUGAAUUGAAGACACUCAACUAGUAUUAAUCACUUCAAAUCCUUUUACUACAGUAUAUUAAAAAAAAUUAGAAGGCUCCAUCAUCUCUUUCGUCUCAAGCUUUAUUGGGUUGAUUCAAUUGAUAAUAAGAAUGGCAUCCGAUGAUUAUACUAGAGCCAAUUGGAAGGAUCCUGUUUUAGUUAAAAAAAAUUUGGACUUAUGCAUUGAACAAGUGAGUGAUGCUGGAAAACAAGGGAGUAGUUUAAAGAAAGAUUUCUGGCUAAAAAUUAUAAAAGCAUUUGAAGAAAAAAAGAAUCUCAAGUUAAAUCAAAAACAAAUGAAAAAUCAAUGGAACUACUUGAGACAAAAAUAUACUAUAUGGUCGAAUAUAGUAGGAAAAAGCGGACAUGGAUUCGAUCCUGUAACAAAUACAGUUAAUUGGAGUUCUGAAGAAUGGGAUGAAUAU